UACGAAGGGGGCUAGCGUUGCUCGGAAUCACUGGGCGUAAAGCGCACGUAGGCGGAUCGCUAAGUCAGGGGUGAAAUCCUGGAGCUCAACUCCAGAACUGCCUUUGAUACUGGCAAUCUCGAGUCCGGGAGAGGUGAGUGGAACUGCGAGUGUAGAGGUGAAAUUCGUAGAUAUUCGCAAGAACACCAGUGGCGAAGGCGGCUCACUGGCCCGGUACUGACGCUGAGGCACGAAAGCGUGGGGAGCAAACAGGG
rnacentral:rRNA from 1 species